rnacentral:ncRNA from 1 species
ACCCGAAAGAUGGUGAACUAUGCCUGAGUAGGGUGAAGCCAGGGAAACUCUGGUGGAAGCUCGUAGCGAUUCUGACGUGCAAAUCGAUCGUCAAACUUGGGUAUAGGGGCGAAAGACUAAUCGAACCAUCUAGUAGCUGG